GACGCACGCUGGCGGCGUGCUUAACACAUGCAAGUCGAACGAAGUGGCGAACGGGCGAGUAACGCGUAAUCAACCUGCCCUUCAGAGGGGGACAACAGUUGGAAACGACUGCUAAUACCGCAUACUGAAGGAGGUGAUUUCGGUGGAUUAGCGUGUUGGUGGGGUAAAGGCCCACCAAGGCGAUGGUCAGUCGCCGGUCUGAGAGGAUGAACGGCCACAUUGGGACUGGGACACGGCCCCGACUCCUACGGGAGGAAGCAGUGGGGAAUCUUCCGCAAUGGACGGAAGUCUGACGGAGCAACGCCGCGUGAGUGAUGACGGCCUUCGGGUUGGAAAGCUCUGUUAAUCGGGACGCGGUACCGGAAUAGAAAGCCACGGCUAACUACGUGCCAGCAGCCGCGGUAAUUC
rnacentral:rRNA from 1 species